GCGUAAUACCAGGAAGAGGAAGGUGUCCCCGUCGUCCGAGUCUCCUGGUAUUCAUCCAUCGACCUCUCCUCUUCAUCUGUCUCGAGUUCCCGUCGGCGGAGUCUGAUCAUCCGCUCAAGAUAUCGUCUUGGUCUUUCUCUAUAUCUGUGGAUCUCUCUCCCCCCCCGCUACCCCGUGAACCUUCUGUUUCCGUCGAAUUAGCGGCGUUCCCUGCAAUUGAAGGCUUUGAUUUGUCGUAGUUCCCGUCUUCUCUCAUUUGGAUCUAAUCCUCCCGCCCCUCCCGGGAGAAGGGAAGGAUACAGUCGCCCUUCCGGCUCCCGCUCGAUCAUCUUUUGCCACGUUUCGAAGGAGAAACAUCGCGCGCCGUCGCUAGGGUUUCGGAUUUAAUCUGCAGUGUCCCCGCUUACACCCCUGCAGGUGAUUUCCGCAGGUGCAUGCUGUUUCUUGAAAACUGUUCUAUCUCGUCCCCCUUCUUAUCAACGAUCUGUUCCUUUAUCUGCAUCAUCACCUUACUUCCAUCACUCUAAUGUCACCCCGCUUUGGUCUUCGUAUCCGUUGACUGGCCAUCAUCUUCUUCGUUUAACUGGCAUCUAUCUCUGUAAUUCUCUAUCUCUCACACCAUUGGCAUCUAUUUGGUGUCAUGUAUGCCAUUUUUUGGGCUUUUUUCUAAGCGACCUGAUAGAUUUCAACUGGAGAAUUCCUUAAUCCGACACAAAAGGCGGAUGAAGAUGACCUGAAUCCCAUGGUCAGAGUCGUUUUUUUGGUUCACCGAUUGCUUUUUUAUUGAGUAUUUUGCGGGUUUAUGAUCCGAGAUUUCAUAUUGAGGACGGUUUUUCCGGCGCGGACCCACCCUUGAGCUUCCACAGAAGAUCAAUUUUCUUCCCCUUAUCAGAAUAAAAAGAUGAUCUAUCUCUACCCUCCCCCCCGCCUUCUUGUUUGAGCACUCAAUUCUUCUGCACCGUGGUAGCAACUGCAAUCUUCUUAUCUGUGCCUUGCAGUGCAGCUACCAAAGCGAGAAAGAUGGUCACUGCAAAAGGGGGGGGGCGCCGCCCAGAGGAAGCGCGGCGGCGGCUGCCUCGCUGCGCCGGCGGCGGGGCGGCGGGAGGCGGCGUGUACACAACGGGCCGCAAGAUGUCACCCGACGCCGCCCACAUCACGAGUAUCGGCAAGCUCUAUCUGGCCGCUCGAAGCCAGUAAUCGCGGUGCCCUUCAUGGGUUUCCCGGCUCACUUCCUCCGGCAUACACAGCAAAACAUGCGCUUUUGAUCUUGUGGAAGCAAACCACCAGUUUCAACAUGGAUCGGUAGAUGCCGCCAUUGCUCGGGCGCGACCUUAUGAACAGCACAGCAGAGAGACAGACAGAGAAGCACACAGAAGGUGGCCGGGCCGGCGCCCAUGGUGCUCGCCUCUUCGGUGUAUCUACAAGGAGGAGAGCCGACAGAUUGUACAGGGUGGGGCUUCCGCGGAGGCCUGUCCAUCAGACCUGCACUCCGAUCCUCCGGGCGACCUGCAACAGGGAAG
rnacentral:lncRNA from 1 species